rnacentral:rRNA from 1 species
GACGAACGCUGGCGGCGUGCUUAACACAUGCAAGUCGAACGGAAAGGCCCUGCUUUUGUGGGGUGCUCGAGUGGCGAACGGGUGAGUAACACGUGAGUAACCUGCCCUGGACUUUGGGAUAACUUCAGGAAACUGGGGCUAAUACCGGAUAGGAGCUCCUGCUGCAUGGUGGGGGUUGGAAAGUUUCGGCGGUUGGGGAUGGACUCGCGGCUUAUCAGCUUGUUGGUGGGGUAGUGGCUUACCAAGGCUUUGACGGGUAGCCGGCCUGAGAGGGUGUCCGGCCACAUUGGGACUGAGAUACGGCCCAGACUCCUACGGGAGGCAGCAGUGGGGAAUAUUGCACAAUGGGCGGAAGCCUGAUGCAGCAACGCCGCGUGCGGGAUGACGGCCUUCGGGUUGUAAACCGCUUUCGCCUGUGACGAAGCGUGAGUGACGGUAAUGGGUAAAGAAGCACCGGCUAACUACGUG